CACAAAAGCCUGUUUGGGGGAAGGUCAUUGGUAUCUAACAUAUUGCUCAGGGAAACCAUGAGGUUCUAUAGCCUUAACACACGGAGGAAGAACCCAGUCUGAUGUUUUAGGGCUCCCCGCUCCAGGUGAAUUUCUCCAUAGCGGCACCAGAGGGCGCCCGAACUGAGGGAAAGGCCUCGGGACGCCAAGAGGACCCAAGCAGGUGCUACCACGCCGGCGACCCAGACCUCGCUGGCUCCGCGAUUAUCCGAUUCAAGAAGGGCUGUGUUUCUCUCCAAUUGUAUGCUUAAAUCUGGAAUCAAGAUGGGAGCACAUUGUCCCACCGGCUGUUUCCUAAGUAACAAGUCAGUGUUCUGUGUUUCAUAGACGGCAGACCUCUGAUUUCACACACUGAAGCGUGGAAAAGCCCCAUGUACUGGAGCCAGAGAACCUUGAAGGAAAAACAGAACUGCAUUCCUCAGCUCUAUCCUUUCUGCUCAUUUCCUGUCACCCAAGAUGUAAUUUUUCAGUGGUGGUCUCCAUUUCAAUUCACAUAUGGCUGCUAGAUCAAGGGACUGACAUUAUCUAGAAAUCUGUGAAGUAAAAAACAUCCAAGACCCAUUCCCUGGGGGCAGAAAAAGGAGGGUAGAAAAAAAGACUGAAUUAAAACCCUCAGUCCUAAAUGAAAACCUGGCCUUCUGCAUGGUUGGGGAGGAGGCCAGAAUCUCUGCCUUGCUGCUUUUUAUCUCCAUCAUCUCCUGCCAACAGACUGCCUCGGAGAAGAUCAGUCCCAGCCCAGCAAUAGAAGUACGCACAAAACAGAAGAGAACACGAAGGGACUUCGGUUUCCUUUUUAUCUCAAUACAUACGGGCUAGUGCAAUGACAUCGAAACUGAGGCACUGAGAGGUUAAGAGGUUCGGAGAGCUAGAAGGCAGUAGAGCCAGCUGCAAAUCCAGGCUGUUUGACACCAGAGCCCGUACUCAGUCUCGCUCUUCUGAGAGCUUGUGCCUGACUGUGACAACGUUCCUCUAGCGCCUUCUUUCGUUCUUACGGUACCUGGAGGGAGCUUUAAGACAAGAAUGUUUCUUAACCUCACCCUGGAGACAUUACGCUGACCUCCUUACAAACAGAAACACACUGGAAUCAGGUCUACUAUCUAGAAGACUAUUUUUCAGAUGUAAUAAUUUAUCCAUCCUUUCAGCCAUUUUGAAAAGCCAUCUCUCGUUGCCAAAAGAAGUGCUUCUAAAGUGUGCCUUUUCAGAAGAUCCCAAACCCUAUGUCCUCUCCAGGGAGAACAUUUCAAGCUUAUCAUUUCUCCAAGACAAACCUCAAAGGCAGAACUCCUCUCUCCAUGAGGCAGGUGUGAUUUAGCAGAACGUAGAAGAAAAGAGGGUGAGUAGGUCUUCUCUUCUACUGGCUGGCUGGUUAGGAGGGGUUCCUUCUCUGAAAUGCCCUCCCCUACAGCACUGCUGAUACCUUCCAUGAUCUCCUGUCCGUGACAUUGGUAUUCUAAGGAGACAACUAGAAUCUAAUGAGCUUAUUGUGCAUAAGAUUUUAAUGAUAUACUUAAAGCUAAUUUAUUCAGGUUCCACAUUCUCAGUCCUGAGGCUAAAAUGAUUCUGUUUUAAAAAAAAAAAAAAUCCUAGAAAGUUCUAUAGCAUGAAACUCAAUGUAAGAAAUCCUAAAUGCCCUAAGAAGAGCUUUCUACAUCCUGGCUUCUAAUGAGCUAGAUAUUGUAAGUUGGCUGAAAUGUAAUAGCUGAUCAUUACUGAUUCCCCUCUGAUGAUAAGCUUGGAAAGGUAUCAGAGUGUGCCACGUAAGAAUAUUAAUCUUUUAACAAAUGCUGGCAAUUUGGCCUUACCCCCCCGCCCCUUCAACUUGUGGUAAAUAGUUUCUUUUUUUUUUUAAAAAUAGACAAUUUAUAAGGAAAAAAAUAUAUAAACACUCUUUAAGCAAUUUGGCUAUAAGCAUUACAUCACUGAAAAACUCCACAAGAAAUAGUAAAAUAUUUUGAGUUGGACAUACACUUUUUCGUUUUCACAACAUGAUGAGCCUAGGGUUUUCUGUUCUGUUUUUUUUUUUUUUUCUUUGUUUUGGUAUUGAAUUUUACUUGGACGUUUAUUGCUUCAGUGUCUUCUUGUCCUUUCUUAGAUUAUCAUUGUAAAACAGAGGUGCUGUCCCUAAUGACGUCACAAGGCAACAUUGUAUUUUUGAGACCUAGGAAUGACACAGACAGGGCCACUGUUAUUUCAGCAGCCUCAGAGAGACAAUGGCUGGGACAACAGUCCACGUGCACCACGAUGCACAAAAGAGCAUUGUUUUCUUCUUUACCUGCAAUGCUAAAGGUGGAAAAAUAAAACAGAAGAAAGUAAAAAUGAAGAGUACACAGGCGGCCCAGGAAAAGGUGGAAAAGGAGAGGGAGAGUGGAGAAAAUUGGAGGGCAAUUCAAGGAGGUGGACCAAGAGGAGGAGGAGAGGUGGGGAGAUGCUUGGUGGUUUUAUUUGGACAUCAGUGGAUCUCAUCCUUUUUUUAUAAUAAGAGGAAGACAAAUAUGGAAAAGGCUCUGUGUUCAUCUGGAAUUCUGGCGACAUCACAGCACAAACUCAACAUGUGUUACGACAUCAUCAGACUCACCACCCAGUUACCUUGCAUCCGUUUACGUGACAUGUGGGCAUGCCUCAUUUUGGCUAAAAGCUGCGGUUUAACAAGAUGCAAUGUUUCAGGCAAAGGGUUGGACCGAUAAGAAUGAAACCAUGUCUAUAUACAGAAGGAGUUCAGUUUAUAAACAAGUUCACUGGUACCAGAAAAUUGGAGAAAAGCACCAAAGCAUUUCCCAAGCUGAUAGAUUAAUUAAUUGCAUAACUCCCUUUUUUCUUAUAGAACUAAGUAUAAAAGACGACAUUUCCAUAAUAACUAUAAAAAUGAAAGCCAGUCUCUGAAGGGCUGAGGAGUCUUCCAGGUCUGAGUUAAUUCUAAAAAUGCCCUUAAAGGAAAGGACGCAUGAUAUGCGACAGCUCUUCUUGGAGGCAAGGUCUGACCCAGUGGUGGAUUUUAAAGGAUGGGAUUCAGGUCUGUUCUGUGAGUGGUGAGCUGACUGAGGGUGGAGCUUCCCACGACCUCGCUCACUGCAGAGGAAGUGGUGACGGUAUUAUGUUGGAUGACCUGGUGCUGAGAGCAAGCUGGGACGGGGCUGGCGGGAGGACUGCUCUCCGGACCUAGGAAAAAGCACACACACGCACACACCAAUAUAGCUCCUCUUGGGCGGACCUGUGGCCUACUCGGGAAAACAUUACUAGAUGUUUACCAGAAAUGGAAGAGUUUCACACGUGUUCUCCUGGACGUUAAUUUCAAAACUUUAUUUUAAACUGUUGUCACCAGCUAUGCCUUCCCACUUUAUAGCUACAAGCAAAGCCAUGCUUUCUACACCAGCAGAAUGAUUUCACGUGUUGGAGUCUUGGUGUGUGAACGUCCCCAUUUUUGUAUUUUCAAGUAGCCAUCCGCAUAUCAAAUGUGGAAACAUACUCACAUGUGGUGGGAGAAUCUGUGUUGCUCAAUCUAAAAAAUUAUUUGAAAAUGAAUUGACCUUCAGCCAUGAAUCCUUGCUCCUCCCACCAUCCCCCACUCAACUAGCAUUUAACUUCUUGAUGUUCCAGAUGCAGAAACUGGGGUCUAGAGAAAGGGGUCCACUUUACUUAUUGGAGCACCGAGACAAGGUCACUCACUUUUCAGCCCAGCAGCUUAUAUACCUUACGGCAUUGGAUGUGAUUCACCCAAUGCCUGUACCCCAGCCCCUGGAUUUCUCUGGAAGGCGGCUAGCCCACUGGUAGGUGGGCUCCAGCAAGUGAUUUUUCUACUGGCUGCAGAAUUGGAAUUCGGUACAAUUUUACAAUGUGAAAUGGCAGGGAAAGUCUAGCCAGAAAUUAUCAGGAGGGGCAUGGUGAUGGGCAGGGGUCAGAAAAGGGGGAUGUCCCUGGUGCAACAGUCUGGCAGCCACUGAAGAAUUCUAGUAUGAUUUCUGCCGGGGUGUGCAAUCUACACUUUACUUUUGCUCUUUCAAUAAAAUCCAAUGCAAAAUUAGUGGCGAAAAAAAAAAAAAAACUGGACACUGAGAAAAGAAAAAAAAAAAGUCAAUGACUUACUUAGAUAUCCUUGUGAUUCUUUCUGCAUGGCUGUUAUUGGACAGUCUUUAUGUGUUAACAACAACUGUUUCAGCUGGGCCACCUCAUUUUUCAACAUGGACACUUCAUUCUGGAAAGAGACAUAUCAAAGCCAUGUUGGAAAGACCAGAGAAUACAAGUCUCCAUGCAUUCUUAACGGUGAUAUUGGCAAACUUUCCUGUUGUGUCCAAAAGACACUGAGGAUGAUAUUCAAUGAGAUUUGCCUGAAAACGUGUACCUUGCCUUUAACUUGGCCAUCACAUUUACCAGGGACUUUCUGAAAAGACCAGACUUGUAACUCAAGAGCUGAAUCCUAUUAAAAGUCCAGAGCACCCUC